CUGCAGAAGAAGCACCGGCUAACUCCGUGCCAGCAGCCGCGGUAAUACGGAGGGUGCGAGCGUUAAUCGGAAUUACUGGGCGUAAAGCGCAUGCAGGUGGUUUUGUUAAGUCAGAUGUGAAAGCCCGGGGCUCAACCUCGGAAUUGCAUUUGAAACUGGCAAACUAGAGUACUGUAGAGGGGGUAGAAUUUCAGGUGUAGCGGUGAAAUGCGUAGAGAUCUGAAGGAAUACCGGUGGCGAAGGCGGCCCCCUGGACAGAUACUGACACUCAGAUGCGAAAGCGUGGGGAGCAAACAGGAUUAGAUACCCUGGUAG
rnacentral:rRNA from 1 species